rnacentral:lncRNA from 1 species
ACGGCCAUAAAUAAAAAGAAAGACCUUUCUUCUGAAAAAACAAACGCCUCCGUGUACGGCCCGCCCAUAGCUCCUUCGACGGCGCCGCCUAGGAACGCGGAGAAAAUAUGACAAAGGAACGGCCAAAAAUAAAAAGAAAGACCUUUCUUUUGAAAAAACAAACAAAUAAAAGGAAUGCAACACGAGGACUUCCCAGGAGGUCACCCAUCCUAGUACUACUCUCGCCCAAGCACGCUUAACUUCGGAGUUCUGAUGGGAUCCGGUGCUUUAGUGCUGGUAUGAUCGCAUCCGACAUACCGUGCGUUCUCCUCCCCUUUAUGCCCGCGCCUCCGUGUACGGCCCGCCCAUAGCUCCUUCGACGGCGCCGCCUAGGAACGCGGAGAAGGAGUAUGACAAAGGAACGGCCAAAAAUAAAAAGAAAGACCUUUCUUUUGAAAAAACAAACAAAUAAAAGGAAUGCAACACGAGGACUUCCCAGGAGGUCACCCAUCCUAGUACUACUCUCGCCCAAGCACGCUUAACUUCGGAGUUCUGAUGGGAUCCGGUGCUUUAGUGCUGGUAUGAUCGCAUUCGACAUACCGGGCGUACUCCUCCCCUUUAUGCCCGCGCCUCCGUGUACGGCCCGCCCAUAGCUCCUUCGACGGCGCCGCCUAGGAACGCGGAGAAAAUAUGACAAAGGAACGGCCAAAAAUAAAAAGAAAGACCUUUCUUUUGAAAAAACAAACGAAUCCGAGGAAUGCAAGACGAGGACUUCCCAGGAGGUCACCCAUCCUAGUACUACUCUCGCCCAAGCACGCUUAAGUUCGGAGUUCUGAUGGGAUCCGGUGCUUUAGUGCUGGUAUGAUCGCGUCCGACGUACCGUGCGUUCUCCUCCCCUUGAUGCCCGUGCCUCCGUGUACGGCCCGCCCAUAGCUCCUUCGACGGCGCCGUCNNNNNNNNNNNNNNNNNNNNNNNNNNNNNNNNNNNNNNNNNNNNNNNNNNNNNNNNNNNNNNNNNNNNNNNNNNNNNNNNNNNNNNNNNNNNNNNNNNNNAACACGAGGACUUCCCAAGAGGUCACCCAUCCUAGUACUACUCUCGCCCAAGCACGCUUAACUUCGGAGUUCUGAUGGGAUCCGGUGCUUUAGUGCUGGUAUGAUCGCAUCCGACAUACCGUGCGUUCUCCUCCCCUUUAUGCCCGCGCCUCCGUGUACGGCCCGCCCAUAGCUCCUUCGACGGCGCCGCCUAGGAACGCGGAGAAAAUAUGACAAAGGAACGGCCAAAAAUAAAAAGAAAGACCUUUCUUUUGAAAAAACAAACAAAAAAAAGGAAUGCAACACGAGGACUUCCCAGGAGGUCACCCAUCCUAGUACUACUCUCGCCCAAGCACGCUUAACUUCGGAGUUCUGAUGGGAUCCGGUGCUUUAGUGCUGGUAUGAUCGCAUCCGACAUACCGUGCGUUCUCCUCCCCUUUAUGCCCGCGCCUCCGUGUACGGCCCGCCCAUAGCUCCUUCGACGGCGCCGCCUAGGAACGCGGAGAAAAUAUGACAAAGGAACGGCCAAAAAUAAAAAGAAAGACCUUUCUUUUGAAAAAACAAACAAAAAAAAGGAAUGCAACACGAGGACUUCCCAGGAGGUCACCCAUCCUAGUACUACUCUCGCCCAAGCACGCUUAACUUCGGAGUUCUGAUGGGAUCCGGUGCUUUAGUGCUGGUAUGAUCGCAUCCGACAUACCAUGCGUUCUCCUCCCCUUUAUGCCCGCGCCUCCGUGUACGGCCCGCCCAUAGCUCCUUCGACGGCGCCGCCUAGGAACGCGGAGAAAAUAUGACAAAGGAAUGGCCAAAAAUAAAAAGAAAGACCUUUCUUUUGAAAAAACAAACGCCUCCGUGUACGGCCCGCCCAUAGCUCCAUCGACGGCGCCGCCUAGGAACGCGGAGAAAAUAUGACAAAGGAACGGCCAAAAAUAAAAAGAAAGACCUUUCUUUUGAAAAAAACAAACAAAAAAAAGGAAUGCAACGCGAGGACUUCCCAGGAGGUCACCCAUCCUAGUACUACUCUCGCCCAAGCACGCUUAACUUCGGAGUUCUGAUGGGAUCCGGUGCUUUAGUGCUGGUAUGAUCGCAUCCGACAUACCGUGCGUUC